UACGAAGGGAGCUAGCGUUGUUCGGAAUCACUGGGCGUAAAGCGCACGUAGGCGGAUUUGUCAGUCAGGGGUGAAAUCCCGGGGCUCAACCUCGGAACUGCCUUUGAUACAGCAAGUCUUGAGUUCGAGAGAGGUGGGUGGAAUUCCUAGUGUAGAGGUGAAAUUCGUAGAUAUUAGGAAGAACACCGGUGGCGAAGGCGGCCCACUGGCUCGAUACUGACGCUGAGGCGCGAAAGCGUGGGGAGCAAACAGGG
rnacentral:rRNA from 1 species